rnacentral:rRNA from 1 species
AUUGAACGCUGGCGGCAUGCCUUACACAUGCAAGUCGAACGGUAACGGGCCUUCGGGUGCCGACGAGUGGCGAACGGGUGAGUAAUACAUCGGAACGUGCCCGAUCGUGGGGGAUAACGAGGCGAAAGCUUUGCUAAAACGCCAACGAACCACGGAUGGAAGCAAGGGACCGCAAGGCCUUGCGCGGGCGGAGGGGCCGAAGGCAGAUUAGGGAGUUGGGGGGAAAAAGCUUACCAAGCCGACGAUCUGUAGCUGGUCUGAGAGGAUGAUCAGCCACACUGGGACUGAGACACGGCCCAGACUCCUACGGGAGGCAGCAGUGGGGAAUUUUGGACAAAGGGCGCAAGCCUGAUCCAGCCAUGCCGCGUGCAGGAUGAAGGCCUUCGGGUUGUAAACUGCUUUUGUACGGAACGAAAAGCCUUCUUUUAAUACAGGAGGGUCAUGACGGUACCGUAAGAAUAAGCACCGGCUAACUACGUG